UGGGGUAUAGCUCAAGUGGUAGACCACAUGCUUAGUAUGCACGAGGUCCUGGGUUCAAUCCCCAGUAUUCCCU
rnacentral:tRNA from 1 species